CGCGUGCGGGAUGAAGGCCUUCGGGUUGUAAACCGCUUUUGAUUGGGAGCAAGCCUUUUGGGGGAGGGUACCUUUCAAAUAAGCCCCGGCUAACUACGUGCCAGCAGCCG
rnacentral:rRNA from 1 species